rnacentral:rRNA from 1 species
GUGGUACCGAGUGGAAGGGCCAUCGCUCAACGGAUAAAAGCUACCCUGGGGAUAACAGGCUUAUCUCCCCCAAGAGUUCACAUCGACGGGGAGGUUUGGCACCUCGAUGUCGGCUCGUCGCAUCCUGGGGCUGUAGUCGGUCCCAAGGGUUGGGCUGUUCGCCCAUGAAAGCGGUACGCGAGCUGGGUUCAGAACGUCGUGAGACAGUUCGGUCCCUAUCCGUCGCGGGCGUAGGAAAUUUGAGAGGAUCUGCUCCUAGUACGAGAGGACCAGAGUGGACUUACCGCUGGUGUACCAGUUGUCUCGCCAGAGGCAUCGCUGGGUAGCUAUGUAGGGAAGGGAUAAACGCUGAAAGCAUCUAAGUGUGAAACCCACCUCAAGAUGAGAUUUCCCAUGAUUAUAUAUCAGUAAGAGCCCUGAGAGAUGAUCAGGUAGAUAGGUUAGAAGUGGAAGUGUGGUGACACAUGUAGCGGACUAAUACUAAUAGCUCGA